rnacentral:rRNA from 1 species
UUCCGGUGGAUCCCGCCAGAAGUCACUGCUAUUGGGAUUCGAUUAGGCCAUGCANGUYGAGAGGGUUCGGCCCUCGGCAGACUGCUCAGUAACACGUGGAUAAUCUGUCCUUAGGUGGAGCAUAAUCUCGGGAAACUGAGAAUAAUACUCCAUAGAUCUAGGAUGCUGGAAUGCACCUAGGUUGAAAGCUCCGGCGCCUAAGGGUGAGUCUGCGGACUAUCAGGCUGUAGUCAGGGUAAAGACCUGACUAACCUACGACGGAUACGGGUUGUGAGAGCAAUAACCCGGAGACGAUAUCUGAGACACGAUAUCGGGCCCUACGGGGCGCAGCAGGCGCGAAACCUUCACACUGUGCGAAAGCGCGAUGAGGGAAUCCCAAGUGCUUGCACGUAAGUAUAAGCUGUUUCUAUGUCUAAAAAGCAUAGAGAGUAAGAGCUGGGUAAGACGGGUGCCACCCGCCGCGGUAAUACCUGCAGCUCAAGUGGUGACCACUAUUAUUGGGCCUAAAACKUCCGUAGCCGGUUUAGUAAAUGCCUGGGUAAAUCGAGCCGCUUAACGGUUCGAAUUCCGGGUAGACUGCUAAACUUGGGACCGGGAGAGGCUAGAGGUACUCCUGGGGUAGAGGUGAAAUUCUGUAAUCCUGGGGGGACCACCAGUGGCGAAGGCGUCUAGCUAGAACGGGUCUGACGGUGAGGGACGAAGCCCUGGGGCGCAAACCGGAUUAGAUACCCGGGUAGUCCAGGGUGUAAACGCUGCUUGCUUGAUGUUAGUCGGGCUCUGAGCCCGAUUAGUGUCGGAGAGAAGUUGUUAAGCAAGCUGCCUGGGAAGUACGGUCGCAAGGCUGAAACUUAAAGGMAUUGGCGGGGGAGCACAGCAACGGGUGGAGCGUGCGGUUUAAUUGGAG